rnacentral:rRNA from 1 species
CCUACGGGUGGCUGCAGUGGGGAAUAUUGGACAAUGGGGGGAACCCUGAUCCAGCCAUGCCGCGUGUGUGAAGAAGGCCCUCGGGUUGUAAAGCACUUUCAGUGAGGAAGAACGCCUGGUGGUUAAUACCCAUCAGGAAAGACAUCACUCACAGAAGAAGCACCGGCUAACUCCGUGCCAGCAGCCGCGGUAAUACGGAGGGUGCGAGCGUUAAACGGAAUUACUGGGCGUAAAGCGCGCGUAGGUGGCUUGAUAAGCCGGUUGUGAAAGCCCCGGGCUCAACCUGGGAACGGCAUCCGGAACUGUCAAGCUAGGGUGCAGGAGAGGAAGGGAGAAUUCCCGGUGUAGCGGUGAAAUGCGUAGAGAUCGGGAGGAAAACCAGGGGCGAAGGCGGCCUUCGGGACUGACACUGACACUGAGGUGCGAAAGCGGGGGUAGCAAACAGGAUUAGAUACCGAGUAGUC